AGGCUUGUAAUCCUAGAGACGGAACUUGUAACGAAUCGGCCAACUCAUAAUCCAUUGGUCCUCGGUUCGAGUCCGAGCGGGCCUACCA
rnacentral:tRNA from 1 species